rnacentral:rRNA from 1 species
GACGGAGGGGGCUAGCGUUGUUCGGAAUGACUGGGCGUAAAGGGCGUGUAGGCUGUUAAUCAAGUCAGGCGUGAAAGCCUUGGGCUUAACCUAAGAAUUGCGUUUGAUACUGGUUGACUUGAGGACGGGAGAGGAAAGCGGAAUUCCGAGUGUAGAGGUGAAAUUCGUAGAUAUUCGGAGGAACAUCAGAGGCGAAGGCGGCUUUCUGGCCCGUAUCUGACGCUGAGGCGCGAAAGCGUGGGGAUCAAACAGG